AUAUGUGCUGCUGAAGCGAGCACAAAUUUACCCUUUUUAAGUGUACAGUUCAGUGGUGGUUAGUACAUUCAUGUUAUUGUACAGUCAUCACCACUCUCCAUCUCUAGAAUGUUUUCAUCAUCCCAAACUAAAGUUCCACACCUUUCGGAGUUCCCGUUGUGGCUCAGUGCUUACGAACCCGAUGAGUAUCCAUGAGGACACGGGUUCAAUCCCUGGCCUCAGUCAGCAGGUUAAGGAUUCAAUGUUGCCAUGAGCUGUGGUGUAGGUCACAGACGCAACUCAGAUCCUGCAUUGCUGUGGCUCAUGAGCUGGCAGCUGCAGCUCCCAUUUGGCCCCUAGCCCAGGAACUUCCAUAUGCCAGGGUAUGGACCUAAAAAAAAAAAUGCUCUGUACCUUUGAAUAACUCCCCAGUCCAUCCCCCAGCUCCUGGUAACCACUAUUCUACUCUCUGUCUAUAGGUGUUUGACUGUUCUAGAAACCUCACAUUAACUGGAAGUGUACAAUGUUUGCCCUCUUGGGUCUGGCUCAUUUCAUUUCUCAUGAUGUCUUCAAAGUUCACCUAUGUUGUAGCAUAUGUCAGAAUAUCCCUCCUUUUAAAAGGCUAGAUAAUAUUCCAUCAUGCAGACAAAGCACAUUUUGUUUCUCCAUUCCUGGAUGGGGUGGGGCUGCAGGUUUUUGAGAAUGGAUGAGGCAUUUCCAUUCUCUCUCACAUCAUCCAUUUCAGAAAACUUGGAGAUCUUAGAAAACAGAACAAGAAGGAUGCAGAUCUCACACCCUGGAAUGACCGUGAAAGCUGUCCUCUGACCAGGCACCCACGCCUGCUCAGGUCCUUUAUAUGAGUAAGAAACACAUUUUCAUCAUAUUGAUUAACCAGUGGAAAUGUGAAGUUUAUUUAGUUUUACAUAACAAGCAUUAUCAAGCCAUUUAUCCUCUUUUACCUACUUGGUAGAAUAUUUUUGGGUCACUGACCCAUGAAAAUAAUUUUUUCUCUCUCUACUUCCACAAUUUCUCGGCUUCUAGAAAAACCACAGUCCCUUAAAAAUCAAGAAAGCAAACAAAAAUGAAGAGGUUCUUUGCGCACUUCGAUUCCCCCUACCCCCGGCCGCUGCCACUAAGAGUAGGAAUUAUGAUGUCUUUUCCAGAACCUACUCUAGGGUAGCCCCCCUCUCAACUCGACUGAAACAAGAUAUCCUUCUGUGUGGUGAACACAGAUCAUGUUUCAGUUCCAAGAAUGAAUAUCCUGUAACCAAACCUGAACAAAGUUCUUCCCAGCAAAAUCAUCAGGCCCUCUCCGCAAAUCAAUAACACCUGCUGCCCUUUGUCUUGGCACCACCCAAUGUGUGUUGUUUUUGUUUUUUUUCAACUUUGUCAGCCAAGUUUUAUAAUGAUCAACUUUUUCCUGUUUUAGCAAAGUUCAGAAAAAAGAGGGCGGCACAUUCUCUGAAGAGUAUACAAACUCUGAUAAGACGCAGGCACCAUCAGGUGAUAAGUUAUGUAAGUGGGAAUAAAACACGUCAGCAGGUUCCAUGCUGGUGAGAGUCAGAUCGAUUUACCUAAUUUCCAGGAUUCCAGGAGCCCUAGAGGUCACUGAUCCGUCUCUCUCCCCUCACAUCUAUUUUCAGGCCGUUCCAAAAAGAUUAAGGUUCUCUCCAAGACAUCCUUGAACGAAUGGAUUCCACAGAUUCAGUCUGGGAUGAUUAAAAAACAGGAAAUCAACAUUUUGACAUGUAUGUUGGAAAACUCAAGGGACGGUAGCUGACUCCCUCUCUGCAGCAUCAAAAGGCCCUUAAGGCGUGGUCACCCUUGGAGGGCAGAGGGGGCCUGAGCCGAAACACCAAGUCUCCUUGUCUCCGGCCACACUGGGCCCUGGGCACCAGCUCUUCAAGCUCUCACCCUGAAUGGGGAAUGGAGGCGGGUGAGGGUUGGACAGAAAGGGAAGGGGGAGAGAAGAAUGGGAAUGAUUAGAAAUGAGAAAACAUCAUAAACGGCAGGAGACAGGGUGAGGGCGGAGGACCUGGCAAUGGAGUGGGUGAAUUAGGAGGGAAAGAGAUGGAAGAAGAACAGGAGAUUAAAGUGGGGAAGAGGGAAGGGGAAGGGAAAAAGGGAGAUGGGGAGGGGAGAGCCUAAGGGAUGGAAGUCAACCUCCAUCGGUGCCUCUAGGUAAAUGGUAAACAACCUUGAAGUUGGAGCCGUACUUUCCAGCCUGAAGGGACAGAGGCCAAGGCUGGGGUUGGUCACUAAGGCAUGAUGUUUACAGGGCUGAUGGUGUCCUGGAGGUGUCUUCAGCUGGGGACCAGAUCCAUAAUCAGCAGGGCCCUGUGCAAAAUGAACAUGCAGGAUCCCUUGUUCCAAAAUUAUUAAGAAUUUCAAGGGCGUUCCCUAGGGGCCUAGCGGUUGAGGAUCCGGCAUUGCCACUGCUGUGACAUGGUUUUGAUCCUUGGCCCAGGAACUUCCAGAUGCUGUGGACACAGCCCCACCCUCAUCCCCAAAUCAAAAUGAUGACAGCAGAGCCCCUAAAUCAUUCAUGGGGCCCUUCUGGGCAUAAGGUUCUGUGCAAAGGCACAGCUAGCAUGUCUCUGGUCUUGUCUUCAAUAUAUUGACAUAACCAGAAAGUUAGAAAAGGAACGCAACAUUUAAGUAGUGUCUAUAUGAUAUCAAACUAUCUGCUUUACUGAGACUGGAUCUUUGACACCAUCUAAGUGGAAUGUCUGCUUGUUUGACUUCUUCUCAAGCCAACUAGUUACCUUGCGAUAUAUGAAUUGAGUCAGAUUUUUCUUUCACACUUGGCUCUACUGCUUAGUGCUUUAAGACUUGUGCUUGCUUCCUGGAUAACAACUGUGAAAUUAAUAGCUACUCCUAGUUUUUAAUAUCACGCUCAGAGGAGAUGUUAGUUGCACAAUAAAGGAAGAAGUGUUAGCUCACAUUUUUGGAACACAGGGAGAGCUUAUGAUAAAUUCAUGUAGGCACAUGGGAAAAAUCAUGGAAAAGAAAUUCACGUAAUUAUGUCCUGCCGAGAGCAGCUCAGCAGGAUGGGGCUGAAGAACGGGUGCUGCGGAAUUGAAGGAAAGAGCCAACACAAAACAAAAUGCCAACACAAAGCAAAACACAGAGAUAGCAAAGGUGGGAACCCGGGGGACUCAAAGUCUCCAGGACCAACAGCCCUGCCUCAAGAAACCACACGCUUUUAUUUCACUCUUUUGAUGAGCUCACAUGAAGAGGGGCCAGGGGUGGAUGAUCAAG
rnacentral:lncRNA from 1 species